GCUGGUUCUGCUCGGUCUGGUUCGGCUCAGCUCGGCUCAGCCGGUGGAUCUGAAGAAGCUUCAAACCGCUCUGCAGGAUCUGCAGGUCGAGAGGCGAGAGAUGAGCUUGCGUCUGGACAUGGCUGAGCGUGAACUGAAGAGAGUGAAAGAAACCCCUAAAGUUGCGUUCGCUGCCUCGCUGGGAGGAAACGGCCUCGUGAAGGCGACCAGCGGAAACAAAAACCUCGUCUACACGGACC